GACGAACGCUGGCGGCGUGCUUAACACAUGCAAGUCGAACGGAGUGGCGAACGGGUGAGUAACGCGUAAUCAACCUGCCCUUCAGGGGGGGAAAACAGUUGGAAACGACUCCUAAUACCGCAUACGGAAGGAGGGGAAUGCGUAGGAGUAGCUAGUUGGAGGGGUAACGGCCCACCAAGGCGAUGAUCAGUAGCCGGUCUGGGAGGAUGAACGGCCACAUUGGGACUGAGACACGGCCCAGACUCCUACGGGAGGCAGCAGUGGGGAAUCUUCCGCAAUUGACGAAAGUCUGACGGAGCAACGCCGCGUGAGUGAUGACGGCCUUCGGGUGGUAAAGCUCUGUUAAUCGGGACGCGGUACCGGAAUAGAAAGCCACGGCUAACUACGUGCCAGCAGCCGCGGUAAUUC
rnacentral:rRNA from 1 species